rnacentral:misc_RNA from 1 species
GGAAGGAUCAUUAAAAGUUGUGCGAGGCGGUCCCUGGCACUGCCAGGUGGCCGCUUAGACAUCAACACCCUCUGUAUAUCUACCGCGUUGCUUUGGCGGGACGGCAGCCAGCAGCCCUGCUGGGAAGCUGUCCGCAGGGCCUCUCAAGACCCUGCGAGCGCCCGCCGGAGAACCAUCAAACUCAUGUUAAACCGUGAUGUCUGAGCUUUACAAGCAAUAAGUUAAAACUUUCAACAACGGAUCUCUUGGUUCUCGCAUCGAUGAAGAACGCAGCGAAAUGCGAUAAGUAAUGUGAAUUGCAGAAUUCAGUGAAUCAUCGAAUCUUUGAACGCAUAUUGCGCCCCUUGGUAUUCCGAGGGGCAUGCCUUUUCGAGCGUCAUUACAACCGUCAAGCUCUGCUUGGUAUUGGGCCUCUGUCUCCACGUGGGCGGGCCUCAAAGUCAUCAGCGGCUGAGAGAACGGCAUUCUAGCGUAGUAGAAAUUAACUCGCUGGGGACCGACCUCAGGUAGCUGUCAAACACGCGCCUUCGCGCAAAUCUAAGGUUGACCUCGGAUAAGGUAGGGAUACCCGCUGAACUUAAGCAUAUCAAUAAGCGGAGGAAAAGAAACCAACAGGGAUUGCCUCAGUAACGGCGAGUGAAGCGGCAACAGCUCAAAUUUGAAAUCUGGUCCUUUCAGGGCCCGAGUUGUAAUUUGGAGAGGAUGCUUCGGCUGCGGCCCUGGUCUAAGUUCCUUGGAACAGGACGUCACAGAGGGUGAGAACCCCGUACGUGGCUGGGUGCCUAUGCCAUGUGAAGCUCCUUCGACGAGUCGAGUUGUUUGGGAAUGCAGCUCUAAACGGGAGGUAGAUUUCUUCUAAAGCUAAAUACCGGCGAGAGACCGAUAGCGCACAAGUAGAGUGAUCGAAAGAUGAAAAGCACUUUGGAAAGAGAGUUAAAAAGUACGUGAAAUUGUUGAAAGGGAAGCGCUUGCAACCAGACUUGGACGUAGUUGCUUAGCUGGGCUUCUGCCCGGUGCACUCUUCUGCGCCCAGGCCAGCAUCAGUUCAGGCGACCGGAUAAAGGCCUUGGGAAUGUAGCUCCUCUCGGGGAGUGUUAAAGCCCUCGGUGCAAUGCGGCCUGCCUGGACUGAGGUCCGCGCUUCGGCUAGGAUGCUGGCGUAAUGGUUGUAAGCGGCCCGUCUUGAAACACGGACCAAGGAGUAUAACAUCUAUGCGAGUGUUUGGGUGGAAAACCCAUGCGCGUAAUGAAAGUGAACGGAGGUGGGAGCCCUCGGGCGCACCAUCGACCGAUCCUGAUGUCUUCGGAUGGAUUUGAGUAAGAGCAUAGCCGUUAUGACCCGAAAGAUGGUGAACUAUUCCUGAAUAGGGUGAAGCCAGAGGAAACUCUGGUGGAAGCUCGCAGCGGUUCUGACGUGCAAAUCGAUCGUCAAAUUUGGGUAUAGGGGCGAAAGACUAAUCGAACCAUCUAGUAGCUGGUUCCUGC